UACGGAGGGUGCGAGCGUUAUCCGGAUUCACUGGGUUUAAAGGGUGCGUAGGCGGGCCGCCAAGUCUGUGGUGAAAUCCCCCGGCUCAACCGGGGAACGGCCGCGAUACUGGAGGUCUCGAGGGAGGUAGGGGCAUGCGGAACUACGGGUGGAGCGGUGAAAUGCGUUGAUAUCCGUAGGAACUCCGGUGGCGAAGGCGGCGUGCUGGACCUCGUUCUGACGCUGAGGCGCGAAAGCCAGGAGAGCGAACGGG
rnacentral:rRNA from 1 species